GUGGGGAAUAUUGGGCAAUGGGCGAAAGCCUGACGCAGCAACGCCGCGUGAAGGAAGAAGGUCUUCGGAUCGUAAACUUCUAUCCUUGGUGAAGAUAAUGACGGUAGCCGAGAAGGAAGCCCCGGCUAACUACGUGCCAGCAGCCGCGGUAAUACGUAGGGGGCAAGCGGUGUCCGGAAUGAUUGGGCGUAAAGGGCGCGUAGGCGGCCUGGUAAGUCUGGAGUGAAAGUCCUGCUGUUAAGGUGGGAAUUGCUGUGGAUACUGUAGGGCUUGAGUGCAGGAGAGGUAAGUGGAAGUCCCGGUGUAGCGGUGAAAUGCGUAGAGAUCGGGAGGAACACCAGUGGCGAAGGCGACUUACUGGACUGUAACUGACGCUGAGGCGCGAAAGUGUGGGGAGCAAACAGGAUUAGAUACCCCGGUAGUCC
rnacentral:rRNA from 1 species